rnacentral:tRNA from 1 species
GCGAAGGUGGCGGAAUUGGCAGACGCGCUGGAUUCAGGUUCCAGUGGGGUAACUCCUGUACGGGUUCAACUCCCGUCCUUCGCACCA